AACGAACGCUGGCGGCAGGCUUAACACAUGCAAGUCGAGCGCCCCGCAAGGGGAGCGGCAGACGGGUGAGUAACGCGUGGGAAUCUACCCAUCACUACGGAACAACUCCGGGAAACUGGAGCUAAUACCGUAUACGUCCUUCGGGAGAAAGAUUUAUCGGUGAUGGAUGAGCCCGCGUUGGAUUAGCUAGUUGGUGGGGUAAUGGCCUACCAAGGCGACGAUCCAUAGCUGGUCUGAGAGGAUGAUCAGCCACACUGGGACUGAGACACGGCCCAGACUCCUACGGGAGGCAGCAGUGGGGAAUAUUGGACAAUGGGCGAAAGCCUGAUCCAGCCAUGCCGCGUGAGUGAUGACGGCCCUAGGGUUGUAAAGCUCUUUCGCAGGUGAAGAUAAUGACGGUAACCUGAGAAGAAGCCCCGGCUAACUUCGUGCCAGCCGCCGCGGUAAGAC
rnacentral:rRNA from 1 species